UAUUGGUGGUGUGGAUAAUCUUGAAGAAGAUCCUUGAAGCGUUCCCAAGCAUAAUAAAGAUUUUCAUCAAUCUUUUAUUUGAAGCUCACUAUAUCACUGUGAAGUCU
rfam:Capsicum annuum cultivar Zunla-1 chromosome 12, whole genome shotgun sequence